rnacentral:rRNA from 1 species
ACUAAUAAAAUAUAAGCACCCAGAUUAUUAACAGUUAUGUUCUUGAAAUUCGAAGAAUUUGGCGGUGAUUUAGUCUUGUUAGAGGAACCUGUUUUAUAAAUCGAUACACCACGUAAAAUCUUACUCAUUUUAAUAUAGUUUAUAUACCGUCAUUAUCAGAUAAUUUUUUGAAAAUUAAUUAUUUAAUUUUUAUAAAAAAGAAAGUUAAAUUAGAUCAAGGUGUAGCUGAUAGAUGAGUUAAAAUGGGUUACAAUAAAAUUUAUUUAGUACGGAAUAAUUAAAGGAAGGAGUAAAUUAAGAAGGAGGAUUUAAUUGUAAUGAAAGUUUAAUAAGCUUAAAAGAUAUAAGCUCUAAAUCAUGU